rnacentral:rRNA from 1 species
GAUGAACGCUGGCGGCGUGCCUAAUACAUGCAAGUCGAGCGAACAGACGAGGAGCUUGCUCCUCUGACGUUAGCGGCGGACGGGUGAGUAACACGUGGAUAACCUACCUAUCAGACUGGGAUAACUUCGGGAAACCGGAGCUAAUACCGUAUAAUAUAUUUAACCGCAUGGUUCAAUAGUGAAAGACGGUUUUGCUUUCACUUAUAGAUGGAUCCGUGCCGCGUUAGCUAGUUGGUAAGGUAACGGCUUACGAAGGCAACGAUGCGUAGCCGACCUGAGAGGGUGAUAGGCCACACGGGAACUGGUACACGGACCUGGCGACUAAGGGAGGCAGCAGUCGGGAAUCGUCGGCAAUGGGCGAAAGCAUGACGGAGCAAGGGCGAGUGAGUGAUGAAGGUCUUCGGAUCGUGAAACUCUGUUACUAGGGAAGAACAAAUGUCUAAGUAACUAUGCACGUCUUGACGGUACCUAAUCAGAAAGCCACGGCUAACUACGUG